ACCCUAACCCUAACCUGACAUGACACUGUCAAUUACUCAAAGAAGUGUUACGUCAUAAACGUUUAUGACUUGUUAUAUGUUUUAUGACACGUUCGUGACAGUGCCAUGUCACUCUUAUGUAGAUACCUUCAAGUAAAGUGUAACCCAAUUAAGUCUU